UAGGGAAUAUUGCACAAUGGGCGAAAGCCUGAUGCAGCGACGCCGCGUGAGUGAAGAAGUUCUUCGGAACGUAAAACUCUGUCCUUUGGGACGAAAGAAAUGACGGUACCAAAGGAGGAAGCCCCGGCUAACUACGUGCCAGCAGCCGCGGUAAUACGUAGGGGGCGAGCGUUGUCCGGAUUUACUGGGCGUAAAGGGUGCGUAGGCGGUUUGAUAAGUUAGUGGUCAAAUGUCAGGGCUAAACCUUGGCUUGCCAUUAAAACUGUCAGACUCGAGUACAGACGAGGUAGGCGGAAUAAGUUAAGUAGCGGUGAAAUGCAUAGAUAUCACACAGAACACCGAUUGCGAAGGCAGCUUUCUAAACUGCGACUGACGCUGAUGCACGAAAGCGUGGGGAUCAAACA
rnacentral:rRNA from 1 species